rnacentral:rRNA from 1 species
AUUGAACGCUGGCGGCAGGCCUAACACAUGCAAGUCGAGCGGACGAAGCGAGCUUGCUCCUGGAUUCAGCGGCGGACGGGUGAGUCAUGCCUAGGAAUCUGCCUGGUAGUGGGGGAUAACGUCCGGAAACGGGCGCUAAUACCGCAUACGUCCUGUUGGAGACAGUGGGGGAUCUUCCGACCUCACGCUAUCAGAUUAGCCUAGGUCGGACUCGCUAGUUGGUGGGGUAAAGGCCUACCAAGGCGACGAUCCGUAACUGGUCUGAGAGGCUGAUCAGUCACACUGGAACUGAGAAACGGUCCAGACUCCUACGGGGGGCAGCAGUGGGGAAUAUUGGGCAAUGGGCGAAAGGCUGAUCCAGCCAAGCGGCGUGUGUGAAGAAGGUCUUCGGAUUGUAAAGCACUUUAAGUUGGGAGGAAGGGCAGUAAGUUAAUACCUUGCUGUUUUGACGUUACCAACAGAAUAAGCACCGGCUAACUUCGUG